rnacentral:rRNA from 1 species
UCGGGUUGUAAAGCACUUUUGUCCGGAAAGAAAACGCCGUGGUUAAUACCCGUGGCGGAUGACGGUACCGGAAGAAUAAGCACCGGCUAACUACGUGCCAGCAGCGCGGCAAUCGUAGGGUGCAAGCGUUAAUCGGAAUUACUGGGCGUAAAGCGUGCGCAGGCGGUCCGCUAAGACAGAUGUGAAAUCCCCGGGCUUAACCUGGGAACUGCAUUUGUGACUGGCGGGCUAGAGUAUGGCAGAGGGGGGUAGAAUUCCACGUGUAGCAGUGAAAUGCGUAGAGAUGUGGAGGAAUACCGAUGGCGAAGGCAGCCCCCUGGGCCAAUACUGACGCUCAUGCACGAAAGCGUGGGGAGCAAACAGGAUUAGAUACCCUGGUAGUCCACGCCCUAAACGAUGUCAACUAGUUGUCGGGUCUUCAUUGACUUGGUAACGUAGCUAACGCGUGAAGUUGACCGCCUGGGGAGUACGGUCGCAAGAUUAAAACUCAAAGGAAUUGACGGGGACCCGCACAAGCGGUGGAUGAUGUGGAUUAAUUCGAUGCAACGCGAAAAACCUUACCUACCCUUGACAUGUAUGGAAUCCUGCUG